UACAGAGGUCUCAAGCGUUGUUCGGAUUCAUUGGGCGUAAAGGGUGCGUAGGCGGCGCGGUAAGUCGGGUGUGAAAUCUUGGAGCUUAACUCCGAAACUGCAUUCGAUACUGCCGUGCUUGAGGACUGGAGAGGAGACUGGAAUUUACGGUGUAGCGGUGAAAUGCGCAGAUAUCAGGAGGAACACCGGUGGCGAAGGCGGGUCUCUGGACAGUUCCUGACGCUGAGGCACGAAGGCCAGGGGAGCAAACGGG
rnacentral:rRNA from 1 species